rnacentral:rRNA from 1 species
GAUGAACGCUGGCGGCGUGCUUAACACAUGCAAGUCGAACGAAGAAGCCCAGCUUGUUGGGUGGGCUCGUGGGGCGCGCGGGAGUGAAACGCGAGUAACCUGCGCUCUACACUGGGAUAUGACUGGAAAAAUGGGUGUCUUACCGCGUAGAGGCGUCCACGGUGCGGGGGGUGUUGUGAAAAUUUGGCGGUUUUGGGGGGACUCGCGGCUUAUCAGCUUGUUGGUGGGGGAGUGGCUCACCAAGGCGCCGACGGGUAGCCGGCCUGAGAGGGUGACCGGCCACACUGGGACUGAGACACGGCCCAGACUCCUACGGGAGGCAGCAGUGGGGAAUAUUGCACAAUGGGCGGAAGCCUGAUGCAGCGACGCCGCGUGAGGGAUGACGGCCUUCGGGUUGUAAACCGCUUUCGGUAGGGAAGAAGCGAGAGUGACGGUACCUGCUGAAGAAGCACCGGCUAACUACGUG